AGGAGAGAUACGCAUGUGUAACUACUGAAAAAAAAACGUCCAGCUGAUAAACGUCCAUGAAUUCUGCUGUCUCGUGAUUUUGUUCGCGGAAGAAAAAGGUAUGCUGCUGGAUAAAGGAACCGAGUAAGAUACCGAAAUUAAUAUUUGUACAAUAAUCCUCCAAGUGCAAGUAUAAAUAUGAUCUAAGUGACAGACUGUCGUAUAAAAUUUAAAGGUCAAUACUGACUUCAUACCCGCUGGAAGAUAUUCAUCGUUGUAUUGCGGCAUUGUGUUACAUCACUGAAAGUCGUGGGUAGUAAUGCCCAGCAAGCAUUUGUGAGAUGUGCCAAAUUAGGCUGGACAAACGUUUUCAAGGACUAGAUGACAGAACUGUCGUGUCUCAGAUAAACACAUCAAUUAUACUUCUAAGGCCAGAAGAUGUCUGCGGUCGAGGCACCACCAUUCAUUCGUACUAUCGAAUGGGACAUGAUGGACAAGACCAAAUUCUUCCCCCUGAGCAUGCUUUCCUCAUUCUCAGUCCGAUGCUGUCUCUAUCCAUUGACCGUCAUCAAGACACGUUUGCAGAUUCAAAGGCGAAAUCACAUGUAUACAGGAAUGCUAGAUGCAUACAAAAAAAUCUAUCAAAUGGAAGGCUUCGGCGGCCUUUACCGAGGUUUUUGGAUAAGUUCGAUUCAAAUAGUAUCCGGAGUCUUCUACGUGUCAACGUACGAAGGUGUGCGUCAUCUGCUGCGACAAAAUCCCGUUACAAGCCAGAUUGAUCCUCGAAUAAAAGCCUUGAUCGGCGGCGCAGCAGCCAGCCUCGUCGGCCAGACCAUAGUAGUCCCUUUUGAUGUUCUCAGCCAACACCUAAUGGUUCUAGGAGUCAGUACCAAGCACGGAAAACUCGUCGUAGACAAGAUGGGAAUGAAUCCUCUGGGAUUAACCCUAGAGCCAGGAAGAUCGCGUGCCUACAUCUCCGCCGAAAUCGUAAGACUCAUUUAUCAGAGAGACGGACUGCGCGGUUUCUAUCGCGGUUACGUUGCGUCCCUCUGCGCAUACGUACCCAACAGUGCUCUUUGGUGGGGACUCUACACGGUGUAUCAAGACGAACUGAUAAAGAUACUGCCAUACUGGGUGUCUCAUCUAUUCGUCCAAGCCGUGGCUGGUACCCUGGGAGGAUUUACCACUACUAUCAUAACGAACCCGCUAGACAUAGUGCGCGCCAGAUUGCAAGUUCAAAGGUUGGACAGCAUGUGCAAUGCAUUCAAAGUUCUCUGGGUCGAGGAAGGACUUGAAAUGUUUACCAAAGGACUCUCAGCGCGACUCGUGCAAUCCGCCUGCUUCAGUUUCUCCAUUAUUCUCGGUUAUGAGACUAUCAAAAGAGUCAGUAUCACCGAGGAGUAUAAGAGCUACGUCAGGUGGUGAACGAAAAUAGAUUUUAAUUCUUUUAACUUUUCUCCUUCGGUUUUAAAUGAUCUUACCGAAUGACACAAUCUUCGAAGGAUAACUGUACAUAGUGUAUCGACGAUGAUUGGACAUCCUUUCGUGUAUAUAAAUGGCGACUAGUUAAAUUUUUCUAAUGAACUUCAACGGACUCGAGUUAAAUCGACUCACGUUAAUAAAGAUGUCAGUGUCGACACUAACGACGCUGGAAAGCGGAAAUGAGCCGUCUAACUGUUUAGUAGAGAAUUUUAGCAAAAACGUAGCAGUGCGAGUAUUGUACUUAAAAGUGCAAAAACAUAGCGGUGCAAUGUUAAGUAGCUUAAUCAGAUUUGAUGGAAGGACCUGUUAUACAUAUUGUAUAAAGGCGGCAACAUUUCAUUGUUCUUUAGAGAUUAAGUGCAAUUACAUAAAUUAAUGUCCGGGCAUAUAUUACACACAAUAAAAGUGCAUUUUAUAUAAUUAACAUUAAUUUUUACGUGUCUCGAAGAAUGCAUAAAGUAAAGGAAGUUAAUAAAAAUAUGCAGGGUGAUAGGACGUGCGUUACAAUACUAUUAUUAGAAAAUUUAAUAAGAGAUUCUUGCAAACUUGUAAAAUCUCCAUUAUCAGGGAUACCCUCAUGCUCGAUGCAAUGUAUAUUGCUUUUCACGAGAUUGAAUCGCUGUUGUUUCUAAAUAUGUAGUUCGCUACUAGUCACCAUGUCGCCGUAAUGCGAAUGCGUCUGUAAUCGUAGCUCAUUCCCUUUUAGAUGCGUGAAGCAAUCGACAAGUCUAUUGCUUCCGAGUGGCUGAAUUUUGAAAAUAUUCAAAAUACCAAUAGGCCAUUCUCGGGGCUGGCCCCGAGAAUUACGAAUGUGUUCGUAGAGGCGUGUAUCUCGUAUGUUUAAGCUAUUGUCUAAUAGUUGCCUAAGACAGUUGACUAUUCUGUGUUGUGGAAAGUGAAAGGUUCGAAAAUCUCAUAUGGCGCGCCAUUGUUCUUCGACCACGAUAACGAUUAUUGUAAAAUAUAAUGACAAUGAAAGAAGUUAUUCUUAUCGUACCGUCUGUGUUAAAUUAAUCAGGUGACAAUUAUUAUAGUUCCUUCAAUCUCGUGAUUUCACUGUUUCAUUUACAAUGACCAAGAUGGCGGCGAUGCCAGAUCUGUACUUGCCGCCAUAAAUAUCACAAUACAGAGUCAAGUGAGCAACUAUAUUACGCAGUGUUUAUUAAUUUGAAAAUGAUUACGUCAGUUCCACUCUUUGACAUCGAGGGAAAGAAAAACGUUUGAAAAUACCAAGUAAUUUUCUCUUGUUCAAAGAAGCUUCCUUAUUUCACAUACCUGAGCAUUUGGACCCAAAAUUGGCAACCAUGCAUCCCUCGUAAGUACUGAUUCUCCAACCUAUCAACAUAACUGGUUCACCACGUACGCCCUGCAUGCAUACUUACUGGAUCUAAAAUGGUACUCGUGGGAGAACCUUUUCAGACCUUCCCUUGUCGCGUUCCAUUUACCUGACCUUGGUUGAAGUUAACAGAUGAGACUUGAUCUUCCAGAGGAUUCAAUGGCAAUAAUAAGAAGCUCAGGACAAUCGGGAUAAUAAUUUCUCGAUAUAUUUAUUAUAAAGGACAGCAUACCGAGAGACACAUCUUGUUGGAGGUACUUAAGUGAUCUUACAUCUUUGAAUUGACGCUCAGCCGAUUGACCAAUCAUCCCUUCCUCAUUUCAGCAUUUUAUCUCAUUAAACAAGAAACGAAUUGAUGACGCAUUGUCGUGUCUGUUCUCCUUGUCCACGACAUAGUAAUUCGAAUUUUGUUAUCAGUUAAUGACAGGUACGAGGAGUACAAUGACUGAGAUAAGAAUAUCUUGCUUUUUUCUGACGAGAUUAAGUAUUCUUGUGGUUGGUCAAUGUGGGAUCAAAGUUCACUAAUCCUGAAGUACGCACGAUACCUGUACGAGGAUGCUUGAAGAUGAAGCCCCGAAAUAUUUUUGACUGGAUACGGGAGUUUCAAAGUUCACCGCUCCGCAGCAAGUUGCUUCUGGUGUUCGGUAGCAGGCUCCCAUUAGAAAUGUAAAAAAAAAAAAAAGGUAAAAGCGGGACCAGAGUGGGAAGGUUGAGCUUUUGGCAGACCAGAGAUGGAAC